rnacentral:rRNA from 1 species
CAGUAGCCGCGGUAAUACGGAGGGGGCUAGCGUUGUUCGGAAUUACUGGGCGUAAAGCGCACGUAGGCGGCUUGGUAAGUUAGAGGUGAAAGCCUGGAGCUCAACCCCAGAAUUGCCUUUAAGACUGCCGAGCUAGCAGGUGAGAGAGGUAAGUGGAAUUCCGAGUGUAGAGGUGAAAUUCGUAGAUAUUCGGAAGAACACCAGUGGCGAAGGCGGCUUACUGGCUCAUACUGGACGCUGAGGUGCGAAAGCGUGGGGAGCAAACAGGAUUAGAUACCCCGGUAGUCCCUGUCUCUUAUAC